rnacentral:tRNA from 1 species
GCCCCGAUAGCUCAGUGGUAGAGCACUUCCAUGGUAAGGAAGGGGUCGCGAGUUCAAUCCUCGCUCGGGGCCCGA